UGGAACUAUGGGAGUGUGUUGAAGUACCAGAGUGAGGUCAAGCAGAAGAUUUCAAUGGAUUUCAUGCAUGAGCUUGGCUCUUCUCUUGGGACGGUAAGGGUUCCAGGGAUUGGUUUACUCUACAAUGAGCUGGUUCAAGGCAUUCCCUCUAUUUUUGCGCAGUUUCUAUUAGAUCUUCCAGCUAUUCACUCUGUAAUAGUCUUUGUCUGCAUCAAAUAUGUGCCAGUACCUGUUGUCCCUCAGGAAGAAAGGUUCUUGUUUAGAAGGGUUGGUCCGAAGGACUAUCAUAUGUUCCGUUGUGUAGCAAGAUAUGGCUAUAAAGAUGUCAGAAAAGAGGAUCAUCAUGCAUUUGAGCAACUUUUGGUAGAUAGCCUUGAGAAGUUUCUAAGAAAGGAGGCCCUGGAUGUUGCUUUGGAAAUCAACCUGAAUCAACGAGACCUUGAUAGCAUUUCUGUGAGGUCAAGGGAUGAGUCUGAAAUACCAGAUGGUGGUGGUGAUGGUGAUGGGAUAGACGAGCUUAAGAUUCCAUUAAUGCGUGAUCAAAGAUUGGAAACUUCAGGGGCAUCAACAUCAGAAGCAUCCGUGACGUUACCAGCCAGUGUUAUGCCAGUUGAUGAAGAUCCUAGUCUGGAAUAUGAGCUCUCUGCUCUCCGAGAAGCCACAGAAUCUGGAUUUACAUACUUGCUUGGACACGGGGACGUGAGGGCAAAGAAAAACUCUUGGUUCAUCAAGAAAUUGAGCAUAAAUUACUUCUAUGCAUUCAUGAGGAAGAAUUGUAGAGGAGGUGCUGCAACGAUGCGUGUUCCUCACAUGAAUAUUAUCCAAGUAGGAAUGACAUACAUGGUUUGAUCUUGGUGUCACAUAGCUACUUGUAUAAUUGCUGUAUUACAAUUUCUUGAUGCCAAAAUUUUCAAGGCAUAAAAGAAAGCAUGAUGUUUCAACAACAUAUCACACUCUUGCAUGUUCAACUUAUUUUCUAUUAAUUAUUUUCUGAUCAUGGAUGUACUACCAUCUUCCUGUAUACCAUCUUCCUGUAUAUCAUUUUGCUGUAAA
rnacentral:misc_RNA from 1 species